rnacentral:rRNA from 1 species
GCGUAACAAGGUUUCCGUAGGUGAACCUGCGGAAGGAUCAUUGU